AUGGCUCCUAUCUCACCAAUGGGCACAAGGUAUAAGGUGCUGACUCCACCGGGAAUCUGUUCCCACACUGCUAUCCAGACUGCAACUUUUCACUUCAUAAUCCUAAUCACAGGAAAACGGCUGGGAUUUGGAAAUAUUUUACUCCUCCUCCUCCUGCUCUACCAACCCUGUUCAAAACCUGGCCAUCAUCAAUGUAAGUUUUUCACUGUCCUAUAUUUUAAGCCAAUUAUUAAUACAGUCCAGAACACUCUGUAUCUUCUGUCAACAUAAAAAAGCAUCACAUAAAUGACUUCAGAUCUCAGUUAUCCUCCAAGUUUUUUCUCCCCAAGUCUCUUCUCAUUUGUAGGUGAGAAAAUUGAGUUGACCAAGUGACAGUGAAAGGAAAGGGGGCUGUCAAUUAGGGGAAAAGUUUCAAAGGCAAAAGGAGGGCCUGGAGGUGUAACUCAAGGGCACAGUAACCUAGAUUUGAUCCCUAGCACUACUGUUAGAGUACAGAGUUAAAUGCGCCCCAAAAGUCUCCUGUUUGAAGGUGAAGUCGUGGUUGAAGAGGCAGAUCCCUGAGGGUGUGUUGGAAGGUGUGUUCCUAACCCUGGCACAUCCCUUCUCUCUCUCUCUCUCUCUCUCUGCUUCCUGGACAACAUGGGCUGAACAGCUUUCUUCCUCCACGUACUUUCACCCUGCUGUUUCUGCCUUGAAACCAGCCAACCACGGGCUGAACACACAGAAGCUGUGUGCCAAAAUAAACUUUUCCUCCACUGAGUUGUGGGUGUCAGGUGUUUUGUCUCAGUGACAGGAAAGCUGACUAAUACAAAAAGACAAAAAAAC
rnacentral:lncRNA from 1 species